GGAUGAACUAAGCCAUGCGAGUCAUUGUAGCAAUACAAGGCAGACGGCUCAGUAACGCGUAGUCAAUCUACCCUAUGGACGGGAAUAACCUCGGGAAACUGAGAAUAAUGCCCGAUAGAACAUUAUACCUGGAACGGUUUAUGUUUCAAAUGAUUUAUCGCCGUAGGAUGGGACUGCGGCCUAUCAGUUUGUUGGUGAGGUAAUGGCCCACCAAGACUAUUACAGGUACGGGCUCUGAGAGGAGUAGCCCGGAGAUGGGUACUGAGACACGGACCCAGGCCCUAUGGGGCGCAGCAGGCGAGAAAACUUUGCAAUGUGCGAAAGCACGACAAGGUUAAUCCGAGUGGUUUCUGCUAAAGAAACCUUUUGCUAGUCCUAGAAACACUAGUGAAUAAGGGGUGGGCAAGUUCUGGUGUCAGCCGCCGCGGUAAAACCAGCACCCCAAGUGGUCAGGAUGAUUAUUGGGCCUAAAGCAUCCGUAGCCCGUUUUGUAAGUUCUCGGUUAAAUCCAUACGCUCAACGUAUGGGCUGCCGGGAAUACUGCAUAACUAGGAAGUGGGAGAGGUAGACGGUACUCGGUAGGAAGGGGUAAAAUCCUUUGAUCUAUUGAUGACCACCUGUGGCGAAGGCGGUCUACCAGAACACGUUCGACGGUGAGGGAUGAAAGCUGGGGGAGCAAACCGGAUUAGAUACCCGGGUAGUCCCAGCUGUAAACUAUGCAAACUCAGUGAUGCAUUGGCUUGUGGCCAAUGCAGUGCUGCAGGGAAGCCGUUAAGUUUGCCGCCUGGGAAGUACGUACGCAAGUAUGAAACUUAAAGGAAUUGGCGGGGGAGCACCACAAGGGGUGAAGCCUGCGGUUCAAUUGAGUC
rnacentral:rRNA from 1 species